GGGGUUGUAGCUCAAUGGUAGAGUACUCACCUUGCAUGUGUGAGGCACUGAGUUCAAUCCUCAGCACCACA
rnacentral:tRNA from 1 species